rnacentral:rRNA from 1 species
ACGCUAGCGGAGGCCUAACACAUGCAAGUCGAGGGGUAGAAUGUCUUCGGAUGUUUGAGACCGGCGCACGGGUGCGUAACGCGUAUGCAACCUACCUCUUACUGGGGAAUAGCCCGGAGAAAUUCGGAUUAAUGCCCCAUAUGCUCGUACGACCUCAUGGUCGAGCGAGGAAAGCUCCGGCGGUAAGAGAUGGGCAUGCGUCCUAUUAGCUUGUUGGUGAGGUAACGGCUCACCAAGGCUACGAUAGGUAGGGGGCCUGAGAGGGUGACCCCCCACACUGGUACUGAGACACGGACCAGACUCCUACGGGAGGCAGCAGUGAGGAAUAUUGGGCAAUGGAGGAAACUCUGACCCAGCCAUGCCGCGUGCAGGAAGACGGCCCUAUGGGUUGUAAACUGCUUUUGUACGAGAAUAAACCUUUCCACGUGUGGAAAGCUGAAGGUACCGUACGAAUAAGGAUCGGCUAACUCCGUGCCAGCAGCCGCGGUAAUACGGAGGAUCCAAGCGUUAUCCGGAUUUAUUGGGUUUAAAGGGUCCGUAGGCGGGUCUUUAAGUCAGUGGUGAAAGCCUGCAGCUUAACUGUAGAAUUGCCAUUGAUACUGGAGACCUUGAGUGUAGUAGAAGUAGGCGGAAUAAGGCAUGUAGCGGUGAAAUGCAUAGAUAUGCCUUAGAACACCGAUUGCGAAGGCAGCUUACUAUGUUACAACUGACGCUGAGGGACGAAAGCGUGGGGAGCGAACAGGAUUAGAAUACCCUGGUAGUCCACGCCGUAAACGAUGGAUUACUCGCUGUUAGC